rnacentral:rRNA from 1 species
UUAAGUUACUAAGGGCAUAGGAUGGAUGCAUCAGCAGCCAGAGGCGAUGAAGGGCGUGGUAAGCUGCGAUAAGCGCCGGUGAGGUGCACACAACCUUUGACCCGGCGAUUCCCGAAUCGGGAAACCGUCCCCGAAAAAAUCGGGGAAGCCACCGCAAGGUGGCGGCGAACCCGGGGAAGUGAAACAUCUCAGUACCCGGAGGAAAAGAAAGCAAAAGCGAUUCCCUGAGUAGCGGCGAGCGAAAGGGGAAGAGCCCAAACGGCUCGGGUGGCAAAGGCGGCAGCCGUUGCCCGAGUCGGGUAGAGGGACUUCACCUCGCCGACUGCCGAGAGGCGAAGAAGUGAGAAAAUGUUCCGGAUAGCCGAAUUGUCCUGGAAAGGCAAGCCAGAGAAGGUGAAAGCCCUGUAGGCGAAAUCCGGGGCAUCUUCUGCGGUGAAGUUCCCAAGUAGCACGGGGCACGAGGAACCCUGUGCGAAUCUGGGAGGACCACCUCCUAAGGCUAAAUACUACUGGCUGACUGAUAGUGAACAAGUACCGUGAGGGAAAUGUGAAAAGAACCCCUGGCGGGGAGUGAAAUAGAACCUGAAAUCCUAUGCCUACAAUCAGUGGGAGCCUAGUUUCGGUUCCGCAAAGUUCCGAGACUGGGUGACCGCGUGCCUUUUGCAUAAUGAGCCGGCGAGUUAUUCUCGGAAGCGAGGUUAACUCCUAUGUGGAAGCAUAGGAGGUAGCCGGAGCGAAAGCGAGUCCGAAUAGGGCGCUUAGUUUCCGGGAAUAGACCCGAAACCUGGUGAGCUACCCAUGGCCAGGGUGAACUCUCGGUAACACGAGAGGAAGGCCCGAACCGGUGGAUGUUGCAAUAUCCUCGGAUGAGCUGUGGGUAGGAGUGAAAGGCUAACCAAACCAGGUGAUAGCUGGUUCUCCCCGAAAUGCCUUUAGGGGCAGCCUCGGGAGAUGUGUCACGGAGGUAGAGCACUGAAUAGUCUACUCCGGAUAUUAUCCGGGGGAAACUAAUCAAACUCCGAAUGCCGUGACAUAAAUCCCGGGAGAGAGGCGGUGGGGGAUAAGCUCCAUCGCCGAGAGGGGAAUAACCCAGACUACCGGCUAAGGUCCCAAAUUCCAGGCUAAGUGGGAAAGGAUGUGGAAUCGCUUAGACAGUUGGGAGGUUGGCUUAGAAGCAGCCAUCCUAUAAUGAGUGCGUAACAGCUCACCAAUCGAGCGAUUCUGCGCCGAAAAUUUAUCGGGGCUCAAGCCUGGAACCGAAGCCGUAGGAAACCCGAGGAAUCGGGUUUCGGUAGGGGAGCGUUCCGCGGUAGGUUGAAGGCAUCUCGUAAGAGAUGCUGGACGAGGCGGAAGUGAUUAUGCCGGCAUGAGUAGCGAUAAACCGGGUGAAAAACCCGGUCGCCGAAAGCCCAAGGGUUUCUGGGGAAGGUUAAUCCGCCCAGAGUUAGCCGGUGCCUAAGCCGAGGCCGAAAGGCGUAGGUGAUGGGAAAGCCGUCAAUAUUCGGCUGCCACCCUAAUAUCGUUACGAGCUAUGGGGUGACGCAUGAGGAAUGGCUGAGCCGCGUGUUGGCUUACGCGGUCUAAGGAGUGAGGAUGGGGUAUAGGCAAAUCCGUACCCGGAAUUCCUUGCUCUGAGGGGGAGCCUCUUAAUUGAGGCGAACUCAGCCGGACCGAGUGCCGAGAAAAACCUCUAUGCCAGAUAUUAGGGUGACCGUACCGGAAACCGACACAGGUGGGCGAGGAGAGUAUCCAAAGGCGCUCGGGUGAGCCCCCGUUAAGGAACUCGGCAACUUGACCCCGUAACUUCGGGAGAAGGGGUGCCUCUCUUGGUCAAAAGCCGAGGGAGGCCGCAGUGAAGUGGGCCUGCCGACUGUUUAACAAAAACACAGGGCUCUGCUAAGCCGUAAGGCGAAGUAUAGGGCCUGACGCCUGCCCGGUGCCGGAAGGUUAAGGAAGGGGGUCAUCCUGACGCAAGUCAGGAGAAGCUCCCGACCAAAGCCCCGGUAAACGGCGGCCGUAACUCUAACGGUCCUAAGGUAGCGAAAUUCCUUGUCGGGUAAGUUCCGACCUGCAUGAAUGGCGUAACGAGUGGGCCAGUGUCUCAACGGGGAGCCCGGCGAAAUUGUAGUGGCGGUGAAGAUGCCGCCUGCCCGCGAUCGGACAAAAAGACCCCGUGAACCUUUACUACAGCUUGCCAUUGGGUCUUGGCAACUCCUGUGUAGGAUAGGUGGGAGGCGAUGAAGCCUUGACGCCAGUCAGGGCAGAGCCGACGGUGAAAUACCACCUGGAUUUGUUGGGAUCCUAACUUCGGGUUCGAACCGAAGGACAGUGGCAGGUGGGUAGUUUGACUGGGGCGGUCGCCUCCUAAAAGGUAACGGAGGUGCCCAAAGGUUGGCUCAGCACGGACGGUAACCGUGCGGGGAGUGCAAAGGCAUAAGCCAGCCUGACUGCGAGACCGACGGGUCGAGCAGACACGAAAGUGGGGCUUAGUGAUCCGGUGGCUCUGUGUGGAAGGGCCAUCGCUCAACGGAUAAAAGGUACUCCGGGGAUAACAGGCUGAUCGGGCCCGAGAGUCCCCAUCGACGGCCCGGUUUGGCACCUCGAUGUCGGCUCAUCGCAUCCUGGGGCUGAAGUCGGUCCCAAGGGUUGGUCUGUUCGCCCAUUAAAGCGGUACGUGAGCUGGGUUCAGAACGUCGUGAGACAGUUCGGACUCUAUCCAUCGUGGGCGCAGGAGACUUGAGGGAAGCUGACCCUAGUACGAGAGGACCGGGUUGGACGGACCUCUGGUCUACCAGCUGUGGCGCCAGCCGCACCGCUGGGUAGCUAUGUCCGGAAGGGAUAACCGCUGAAAGCAUCUAAGCGGGAAGCCCAUCCCAAGAUUAGGUCUCCCGUGUAUUAUCGGGCAACCGAUAAUACCCUGAAAGCCCCCUGUAGACUACAGGGUCGAUAGGCCGCAGGUGUAAGAGCGGUAACGCUUUGAGCCGAGCGGUACUAAUCGGCUGUGCGACUUAAACU